rnacentral:rRNA from 1 species
UACGUAGGGUGCAAGCGUUGUCCGGAAUUAUUGGGCGUAAAGAGCUCGUAGGCGGUCGAUCAAGUCUGGGGUGAAAUCUUUCGGCUUAACCGGAAAAGUGCCUGGGAUACUGUGCGACUAGAGUGCGGAAGGGGCAACUGGAAUUCUCGGUGUAGCGGUGAAAUGCGUAGAUAUCGAGAGGAACACCUGCGGCGAAGGCGGGUUGCUGGGCCGACACUGACGCUGAUGCGCGAAAGCCAGGGGAGCGAACGGG